rnacentral:lncRNA from 10 species
AUCUACUGAAAAAAUACUUCUAGGCCCUAUAGCUACAUGAUAUCUCCACUGGGAGCCCUGUCCUUUCCAUGCCCUGGGAAAACCCGAUCUAAAGCAGAUUUAAAUGACUCAGCAGUAGGACUCAGGUCUCUGUCUCUGCCUGCUUACUUGGGGAGUGCUCCAGCCUUAGGGGCUCUCUUGCACUCCAACAUAGGAAAGAAAUUAUCGAUGGCUCCAUUCCCCAGCAUUUGAGACUUUUCUUCCCACAGACACAUUCCUGAGGACACCAGUCAUGGGUAAAGAACUCCACUGGGGUCAGCGUUGGAUCCCACUAGGCAGUUUAGGACUUGUAAGUAGAGUAGUGUGGACUUGGUGUUCCCAGAGCCUCUCACUCAUGAUUCAUGGCUCUCCACCCCAAGCAUCGGAACUUGCCCAACUUCACCACAGAAGGAAACAGACUGUAAGCUUGGAGGGCCAGGGAGGAAACCGGAGGCAUGUGUGGGAGGAUUAGAAACAUGAAAAGAUAUUUACAGUAAGGUUCGCUUGUCAUCCUCUUGAACUGGGGGUGCAUAGAGUACAAUAAGACCCCAUGUGAGUAUGUUAGAUGAUAAGGCUCAGGUUGGAUGGGUGUGUAGAGUAAAGGCUUUGCAUCACCUUUGCCAGGGUGAGGGAAGGCUAUGGAUAGCACAGGGGACCUUGAUGAUCGGGUGAGGGAGCCCAUGUGGACAUAGUGGUCACCAGCUACUUCCUAGUUCUCUACAUGGGAGAAAGAGCCCUUCUCUGUAAUCAUGGAAGCUCAAGUUCUUGGUGGUUCAGAGGUUAGAGACCUCUGAUUACUAGGACAGAGCAGAAUAGCAGGGCUGGUCCUGGUAGAUCAGACAUCUCAUGACAUCCUUUAAAAGGGACUAGAAUAUUCAGAACUCCGGUGUAACUAAAUGAUCCUCAAGCUUUACCAGCAGGUGAGCAAGGUCCCAUUGUAUUUGGUACUCACAUCCCCACCAAUUCUGUAAAAGUUUGCCAACUUUCCCCUCCAUCCCCUGCACCCUUUCACCAAAAGAUAUGCCUAAGAGUUCCCAAGAGACGUCUAACAUAGGCCUGCAUGUCAGCCCAGUCUUCUGGGCUGAGCUGCUGCACUGUUGCUGGCCUUGAUGGCUGAACCUGAUCUCUGUUGUGGCACCCACCACUCUUUCUCAAGCCUUGACACCUUGGCAGGCUUUGGCAAAAAGAGGAGAGCUGUUCUUCCUCGGCAUUAUGUUCACUUAGCAGGGUCCCACAGCAGGAUUGCUUGGACCCCAGAGUAUUGUAGGGCUUAAUAAGACCAGCCCUUUCAUCUCACACGCUCUAUCCUUUCUCUCACUGGUGCACCCACGUCAGGUGUCUUGAGUGGGGAGUGCUCGAAUAUCUGCCACCAGCUUGAGUCAGAACCUCGACUUCCCUCAGCUUUUCAGGGUCUGUUACUGAGUCUGGUCCACACUCCAGGGUCUUUUCCUCACGGUCUGGGUCUGGUCUUUUUCAGGUGCCUACCUUUCCUCCCUGCAAACUGCCUUGAGUUGCCUCCCCUUCUCCCUUCCUUCCUGGUCUGUCAGAGACAUCUUGUCUGGGUGCAUAUUUGAACCCCAUCAGUAGACAGAAAACAUGUAUUUCCUUGAAGGCCCCUCAGACCCCAGGGCCACCGGGGUUGGCUGAGUCAGAAUACCAGCCAUGUGGCAUGUCGCAUGGGGCAAGAGCUGUGCUGCCCAUGGGAGUCCAGAGAAGGAGCACACUAAGGACCAACACCAGAGAGAAGACAGCUGUCUGCAAACCAGAAAGAGAGUCCUCACUGCACUUCAUAUCUGCCAAUGGAUCCUUGCUCUUGAACCUCCCAACCUGCAGAAUCAUGAGAAACAAACAUUGUGUAAGCCACCCACUCUACAGUAAUUUGUUCUAGCAGACCGAGCUGACUGAGCAUUUGCUCUAGGGGAAGCCUGCAGCUAUGUCAUGAGGACCCUCAACAGCCCUGUGCAGAGGACUAUGUGGCAUGAAAGAUACCUUCUGCCAACAACCAGCCCCAACUUGCCAAGCAUGUGAACAAGCUAAACUGAAAGCAGAUCUUCAGCCCCAAUCAAGCCUUCAGAUGACAGUAACCUCAGCCAAUAUACUGACUAUAACCUCAUAAAAGACCCUGAACCAGAACCCUCUAAGCCACUCUCAAACUCUACCCCACAUAAACUGUGAAAUAAUAUAUGUUUAUUGUUAUUUUGGGCCACUAAGUUUAGGGGUAAUUUGUUAUGCAGCAAUUAUAUAACCAAUAUUCCAACUAAAGCUGAAAUGCCUCCUGCAUUUCCUCCCUCAGUGGCCUACACUACAAUCCAAGUUCAGGAAAAAACGAGAACCUUAUUUAAGGUAGUGGCAAGAAAUGAAUGGAUUAACUGGACAUUUAAAAAGUAUUUGAUAGAACUUGGUGAUAGGAGGUGGGGCAGUUAGGGACUAGCAGGAAUUUAGGAUGAGAGGCUCAUUCAGUUGGGCUUAUGUUUUACUGAGGUCAAUUCCAAAAGGAAGGAAAGAAAAAUCCAGCCAAAUAACCUUUAAUGGACUAAGUCUUCUUUCAUAAGUCAGUUUGCACAACUUCUUCACAGGAAUCAGAUUUUAAAUAUCAUAACUGAAGAGAAAAAAAACAGCAAGAGGAGUUUACCUUUAUGGUGGAAUGACACUAAUCUUUCAUGCUUUCAAAUUUCUUGAAAUUUCCUUCGUAUGCAUUAUCUUAUUUGCUGUUCACAGUAAAACUGUGUAUUGGCUAAGCCAGUUUUUAUGAAAAUAUAAGCAGUGAGAAAAAGUAAGAUAGUAUGUCAGUUAGUAGAUUUUUUUAUGGACAUUGUGACAGAGGACACAACUUAAACUGGCUUUUUUUUUUUUUUUUUUUUUUUUGAGACAGAGUUUUGCUCUUGUUGCCCAGGCUGGAGUGCAAUGGCACGAUCUCGGCUCACUGCAACCUCCGCCCCCUGGGUUCAAGUGAUUCUCCUGCCUCAGCCUCCCGAGUAGCUGGAAACACAGGUGCCUGCCACCGCGUCCGGCUAAUUUUUUGUAUUUUUAGUAGAGAUGGAGUUUCACCAUGUUGGCCAGGCUAGUCUCAAACUCCUGACCUCAGGUGAUCCACCUGCCUCAGCCUCCCAAACUGCUGGGAUUACAGGUGUGAGCCACCGCACCUGGCAAAAGGGUUUUGUUUCUAAAGGUACAAGAACAGGUACAGCUUCGGGUCAGUGUGAUUCAGCCCUCAACAAAGCCACCAGGAUCCAUUUCUUGGCUCUGCUUCAUUGCUUCUCAUAGGCUGGCUCAUUCUCAGACUGUACGUGAUAUGGUUCAGUGGCUUUAGGCUCCAAGCAUGACAACACCCAACACUCAGAUUGAUGGAGCUAGAGCAAGUCUCUUCAGGCAGCGUCUAGGAAAGUUCUGAAAUUCACUCUGAUUGGCUGCCCAUCUCUGAAUCAACCACGUAACCCAAGGAAAUAGGAACUGCUGAUGGGUCAGGGUCGGUUCACAUGCUUCAUACCUGGAGCUGAGAAGACAUCAACUCCAUCCUGGAGCUCAUGGGCUGUGACUAGAGCAGACGGAGUUCUCAGAGGAAAGUCAGAGUACAGUUAUCAAAGCAAGCAGUUACAGAUGCUAGAUGACCAAAAUCCAAUAACUGCCCAGUAAAAAUAUUAUACUAAAAUCUAGGAACAUGUGGCUGAUGGACAGUCAUUACCAGGAAAAAAAAGUUGUUAGGUCUAAAUGUAAAAAUUGAGGCAAAGAAAGUGCCCGAGCUAGAAUUAGAACCCUGACUACCUGAAUAUUAGAUCGGUUAGUGCCACUUCUACCCUACCGCUGCUGAGGGGGGAGGUGAACAGUCUCUCAGGUUGCAGACAGUGGAUGGUUUCCCUCCCUCUAUCUUCUCAUUUCAUGGUGGAGCUGAAUCAUCCUAUGUUCUACAUGCUGACAGUGGAAGGUUAUGACCAUACCCAUAUCCUGUUGUCUCUGAGUCUCCUGUGGUGCAGAGAUCCCUGAGACUUGUAGAACAGAACCUGAGUGGAAAGUGGGAGGGGGAUUGGGGGUGGUUCCCACGAAUCAAGCAGCAACCUGGAGACAAGGAACACCUGCAACCUCAGCAGUGGAUCAGAACGGCUGACUGAGCAAUGGACAUACUGUGCAUCUUUCAUUAGUGCUGAGACCAACUUCUAGCUUGGAGUCCCAUGAAAGGGAAACUUAGCCCUAACACCACAACAAGGAGCACAGUGUCAAGUGGGGACAUUGCAGCAGAGUUGCCGCAAAGACUCUGAAGUGCUAUGGGAAGGGAUAUUUCCUAGGAGGGGUUAAAGGGAUUCUCCUUAAGAAGGGGGCUGGGGGAAUCUGAGUAAGAGGUGGGGGAAAGCAGCCAAAGCAUGAUACUUAGUCAUAGCAUCACAAGAAUUUGACUCAGAGUUCCUACAAGGUUGUCCUAAAAUGCCCUGGUUCAGGUGGGUCAGCUUUGAAAGCACCCAAAUUACCCCGUUUUCUGUACUAUGUUUAAAGGCAAUUUGAAAGAAAGACCCCUAAUUUGGAAACAUGUGCUAAGGCUAAAUCACUUUUUCAACUGAAAAUUCUUUUUUAUGUAUUGUUACACUCCAUUUUCUGUCUUGUGUUUUUUGUUGUUG